AGCGGAGUGGCGCAGCGGAAGCGCGGUUGGCUCAUAACCCACAGGCCCCAGGAUUGAAACUUGGCUCUGCUA
rnacentral:tRNA from 1 species